CCGCGGAUGUGUUCACGUCCGGCGAAUCAAAAUAAAAUCAAAGGGGGACCCGCAAAAGGAAUUUUGCGGUGCACAUCCGACUAUAUGCUGGAACAUCUGCGCAUGUUCGAGUACUCGUCCGCGUUGCGGGCAGUGAAAAUCUCGAACCGAUGCCCUACAACAAGUUCAGGGCAAGCAGACAAUCAGCAGGGAAGAUUUGUGAACUUCAGUGGGAGAAGGAGAAGAGAACAUGACGACUACACAAGUCGAGAUCAACAAAAACCCUCAGAGACUACAUGUCGGACCACCUGUUAAAAUGAUAGGUGAAAGAUAUAGUCCGAUCUUACUGGCGACAGUAAG
rnacentral:ncRNA from 1 species